rnacentral:tRNA from 1 species
GGGGCAGUGAUCUAGCUUGGAUAUGAUGCAUGCUUCGGGAGCAUGUUAUCGGGGGUUCAAAUCCUCCCUGCCCCA